AGAGUUUGAUCCUGGCUCAGAACGAACGCUGGCGGCGUGCUUAACACAUGCAAGUCGAACGAGAAAGAUUUCUUCGGAAAUUGAGUAGAGUGGCGCACGGGUGAGUAACGCGUAGGUAAUCUACCCUAAUAUUUGGGAUAACAUUGGGAAACUGGUGCUGAUACCGAAUACCCUUCUUUUCUGUCGGGUUAAGGAGGAAAGGUGGCCUCUUCAUGAAAGCUACCGUAUAAGGAUGAGCCUGCGUACCAUUAGCUAGUAGGUGGGGUAACGGCCCACCUAGGCUACGAUGGUUAGCGGGUCUGAGAGGAUGAUCCGCCACACUGGAACUGGAACACGGACCAGACUCCUACGGGAGGCAGCAGUGAGGAAUAUUGCGCAAUGGGGGAAACCCUGACGCAGCGACGCCGCGUGAGUGAGGAAGGUUUUCGGAUCGUAAAGCUCUGUCAGAAGGGAAGAAGUGUUAUACAGUUAAUACCUGUAUAAUUUGACGGUACCUUCAGAGGAAGCACCGGCUAACUCCGUGCCAGCAGCCGCGGUAAUACGGAGGGUGCGAGCGUUGUUCGGAAUUACUGGGCGUAAAGGGCGCGUAGGCGGCCCGAUAAGUCAGGUGUGAAAGUCCACGGCUCAACCGUGGAAGUGCAUUUGAAACUGUCAGGCUUGAGUAUCGGAGGGGAAAGUGGAAUUCCCGGUGUAGAGGUGAAAUUCGUAGAGAUCGGGAGGAACACCGGUGGCGAAGGCGACUUUCUGGACGAAUACUGACGCUGAGGCGCGAAAGCGUGGGGAGCAAACAGGAUUAGAUACCCUGGUAGUCCACGCCGUAAACGAUGUGAACUAGGGAUAGGGGGUGUUGAUCCCUCCUGUCCCGCAGCUAACGCAUUAAGUUCACCGCCUGGGGAGUACGGUCGCAAGAUUAAAACUCAAAGGAAUUGACGGGGGCC
rnacentral:rRNA from 1 species